UACGUAGGUGGCAAGCGUUGUCCGGAUUUACUGGGCGUAAAGAGCGCGCAGGCGGUCGUUCAAGUCGCGUGUGAAAGCCCCCGGCUCAACUGGGGAGGGUCACGCGAUACUGACUCGACUCGAAGGCAGGAGAGGGAAGUGGAAUUCCCGGUGUAGUGGUGAAAUGCGUAGAUAUCGGGAGGAACACCAGUGGCGAAGGCGACUUCCUGGCCUGUUCUUGACGCUGAGGCGCGAAAGCUAGGGGAGCAAACGGG
rnacentral:rRNA from 1 species